UACGAAGGGGGCUAGCGUUGCUCGGAAUCACUGGGCGUAAAGGGUGUGUAGGCGGGUCUUUUAAGUCAGGGGUGAAAUCCUGGAGCUCAACUCCAGAACUGCCUUUGAUACUGAAGAUCUUGAGUUCGGGAGAUGGUGAGUGGAACUGCGAGUGUAGAGGUGAAAUUCGUAGAUAUUCGCAAGAACACCAGUGGCGAAGGCGGCUCACUGGCCCGGUACUGACGCUGAGGUGCGAAAGCGUGGGGAGCAAACAGG
rnacentral:rRNA from 1 species